rnacentral:tRNA from 1 species
GGCGGUGUAGCUCAGCUGGCGAGAGCAUGCGGUUCAUACCCGCAGUGUCGUUGGUUCAAAUCCGACCACCGCUACCA